UCCAUUGUUAUUCGAGUUUUAUGUUUUAGGAAAAAUUAUUUUAGCUGUGAAAUAAAGUAGGUUUUGUUACUUUGUACUACUAAAUUGAUACCUUGCAUGAUAUGAGUUUGUUCCACCUCCUGCAUUAACAUUUCGGAUCAUAGUCGGGCUUCAUAAGGUAUGUUCUUCAAUCCAUUUUUUUGCUAUGUGAAGUUUGAGAGAAAUAUUUUCUAUGAACUGUAUGAACAAGUUUAAUUAGAUUUUGUGAUUCAGCUUGUGAUAGAUGCUUUUCCGAGGCAGCAAACCUCUGAUUUGAUUCAAGUUGUCUGAUGUGUUGUGCCUUUGUGCCCAUCUCGAAAAUUAAUUAUAUUGUCAUGUAUAUUGAAAAUUACUUAUGAUGAGUGAUGACAUUUAAGGCCUGAUAUGAAAGUUCUGGUUUUGCUUGUUGAUGUAAACUUGGUAUGUUUAGAACCAAAUUGAAAACAUUGUAGAGGUUCUACUGGUGUGAGAUGAAGUAAGGCUGGUGUUGGUCGGUUGCACCUGUGGUGGGGGGUGAAUUUACAGUGGUUCUAAUGGCGGGGCUAGAGUAUGGUGAUUGCUUUAAGAUUGAGGUGUGAAAAUCUUAAGAUGGGAAGUUCAAGUACAGGGAACUAAGGGAAAUCAUGAAGAUAUUGUUUGGGUUAAAACCUAGAGAGGACAGAGAACUAGGGAAAUGGAGUGAACAAAAAAGUAGGACAAACACUCACAGAGGUAAUUAAGGAACUAAUAAGUGAUUUUUCAGAAGCUAUGUUUGACAGCAAUACUUACAACUCAGAAUGCAACAUAAGUCCAGCUAACAUCACAAAGGAUGAGGACUACACUAAUUGCGAGAGGCAAUAACAUAACAUACUAAGAGAUUUGAUGAAGUAUCAGAUAUUAAUGAGAAAUAAUCACAAAGAUGCUGCGAUCUACUAAUAAAAAAGUCUGGUUAAAUUGCUUGAUUGGGAACAAAUAAAAUCAUUUAACAACACAUUGAUCAUACUUAAACCACACAUUAUCCUAAAAUUAUUUGUACUACUAAAUGUGUCUCCAUGUACCACCAUCAUUUUUAGUGUUUUCAAGUGUUUCUCUUAUAUUUUUAUAGUAGUACAUGGCAACCAUCAUUAUAUGCCUUUGAGAAAGAGUUGCAAGUGUGGCCAACAUGACAUUUUUAGUGCUGUCAGGUGCAUGAAACGAUUCUCCUCAGUGCCAACAACAAGCAUGAGAUAAUAAACAAGAAAUGUAUCAUGAGAUAAUAUUCAAGAGGCAGAUUCAUACUAGUACAAGCUACAAAAUUAUGGUGAAUAAUGAACCAUCUGGAGGAGAUCAAACGUAGACGUCUCACUAUACAUACUAUCGGCCAGAUUUAGCUAGCCAUGCGGUACUCGGUGCUUAGAAGGAAGAUGAUCUAUAUGUACUUAUUAGAAGUAUUUGUGGUACUAAAACAAAUAUAUAUUAGUUGGGUUUGAUUAAGUACAUUAAUUUUCGUUAAUUAGGAUUUGUCAUGUAUACUCUUAAUUUAAUUAGUUUUGGAAAUUAUAAUACAGAUAUGACAAUUAUUUUUGGCA